rnacentral:rRNA from 1 species
UAGGGAAUAUUGCGCAAUGGACGAAAGUCUGACGCAGCGACGCCGCGUGGAUGAAGAAGGUCUUUUGAUUGUAAAGCCCUGUGAGGGGGGACGAAAAAUUUAAAAUUGACGGUACCCCCAGAGGAAGGACCGGCUAAACACGUGCCAGCAGCCGCGGUAAUACGUGUGGUCCUAGCGUUGUCCGGAAUGACUGGGCGUAAAGGGUGCGUAGGCGGGCACAUAAGUCAGGUGUGAAAUCCCCGAGCUCAACUUGGGAAGUGCGCUUGAAACUGCUGGUCUUGAGUACGGAAGAGGAAAGCGGAAUUCCCGGUGUAGCGGUGAAAUGCGUAGAUAUCGGGAGGAAUACCAGUGGUGAAGACGGCUUUCUGGUCUGUUUCUGACGCUGAGGAGCGAAAGCCAGGGGAGCGAACC